rnacentral:rRNA from 1 species
UAGGGAAUCUUCCACAAUGGACGGAAGUCUGAUGGAGCAACGCCGCGUGAGUGAAGAAGGGUUUCGGCUCGUAAAACUCUGUUGUUAAAGAAGAACAUAUCUGAGAGUAACUGUUCAGGUAUUGACGGUAUUUAACCAGAAAGCCACGGCUAACUACGUGCCAC